ensembl:ncRNA ZK617.19 ncRNA
AGGUGGCAGACGACGUGAAGAAGAUGAUGUUGAUGAUGAUGGAGAAGCGCCAUGAUCAGAGCCGUCGUUGCUCGCCGAUUUCUUCAGAAGAUUCUGGAGAUAUGAUCCAGGCGUGUAGUUCAUUUUUGCAGAACUAUUCGGUUAACACGC